CCCUUAGAUGUUCUGGGCCGCACGCGUGCUACACUGAGUAAAUCAAUGGGUAAGGGAACACGAAAGUGCAACCUAAUCUUGAAAUUUGCUCGUGAUGGGGAUCGACGGUUGCAAUUUUCCGUCGUGAACGAGGGAUACCUUGUAGGCGCGUGUCAUCAUCACGCGCCGAAUACGUCCCUGCCCUUUGUACACACCGCCCGUCGCUCCUACCGAUUGAGUGAUCCGGUGAGGCUCUGGGACCUGGACGGAAAGAGCGUUUCGCUUGUUCUGUUUGGGAAACUUGGUCGAACCUUAUCAUUUAGAGGAAGGAGAAGUCGUAACA
rnacentral:rRNA from 1 species